UUUUUACGGAGAGUUUGAUCCUGGCUCAGGAUGAACGCUGGCGGCGUGCUUAACACAUGCAAGUCGAACGAUGAAGCCCA
rnacentral:rRNA from 1 species